CCGGGGAUGUAAGAUGUAUCAGCAGUGACAGCCUUCUUUGUUUGGCACUUCUAUUAAAAAUGCUUCGUUGGUGCAAACCUGUAAUCCCAGCACUCAGCGGGCUAAGGCAGGAUGAUGCUGUGAAUUCAAGGCCAUAGUUACUGUAGUUUGUGCCAGAAGGGUUAAUGACACAAAAGCCUCAAGGGGACUGGGAAGCUCUGGGCAAGAAAGCUGAUGUGACUGAUGAUACCGGUGGAAGCCCCUGAUGAGGAGAGCCACACACCAAACCCACUGGCAUCUUCCACCUCCAGACUGUAUGAGAGAUGAUCUGGAGAUCUUUCCGUCCCCAAAC
rnacentral:lncRNA from 1 species